rnacentral:rRNA from 1 species
USAAGGAAUAUGGGCGAUUGGACGAAAGUCUGAACCAGCGAUGCCGCGUGGAGGAUGAAGGCCCUCUGGGUUGUAAACUUCUUUUAUAUGGGACGAAAAAGGACUUUCUAGUUCAACUGACGGUACCAUGUGAAUAAGCACCGGCUAACUCCGUGCCAGCAGCCGCGGUAAUACGGAGGGUGCAAGCGUUAUCCGGAUUCACUGGGUUUAAAGGGUGCGUAGGUGGGUUGGUAAGUCAGUGGUGAAAUCCCCGAGCUUAACUCGGGAACUGCCAUUGAUACUAUCAGUCUUGAAUACCGUGGAGGUUAGCGGAAUAUGUCAUGUAGCGGUGAAAUGCUUAGAUAUGACAUAGAACACCAAUUGCGAAGGCAGCUGGCUACACGAAUAUUGACACUGAGGCACGAAAGCGUGGGGAUCAAACAGGAUUAGAUACCCUGGUAGUCCACGCCCUAAACUAUGGAUACUCGACAUACGCGAUACACUGUGUGUGUCUGAGCGAAAGCAUUAAGUAUCCCACCUGGGAAGUACGAUCGCAAGAUUGAAACUCAAAGGAAUUG